rnacentral:lncRNA from 1 species
GCGCGUAUGAAUGAAUGUGAUCCGGGGUCAAGCGGUCAGCAUCUACGGCACCACGUGCCGACGAUCUAGUGGCCCGUUUCACCCAAUGUGUUGUGUAGAAAGACGGCGUGGGCCGUCAAAUCGGUGUGCGCAGGAUGCUCGACUGCUGGUGAUGCAUCACUCUUGGAACUCCACGUGCUCAUGGGCUCGGUCCGACGUUAGCUAGAUUGUGUAGGUGGCAAUGUCGAUACACGUGUAAGACCAAGAAUCUGCCUCAAUCAGCAACCUAGGACCAAUAUUGGGUCUACAACCAUACAUGCACAUCUGACGACGAUUUAGUCUUUGCACGAGGGGAGAUCAUAUAAGUGGUCAGAAUAAAUUUGAAGCAAAGUUGCUGAUGACUAACUGUGUCGAGAUUUAUUCUAAGCUUGUGAUCUUAUUUCUUAUUAAUAAAAUAAACAUGUGAUUCUAUCAAACGUAUUUAUCUUGCUUAUUGCCAAUCACUUUCAGUAGCAAUUCCUAGGACUUCGUCGCAGUGCUCACGUAAGUUUACCAUUCAGAUAGGGAUGCUCUCUCUC